rnacentral:rRNA from 1 species
GUCGAACGGAGAAUUUUAUUUCGGUAGAAUUCUUAGUGGCGAACGGGUGAGUCACUUCAUAGGCAACCUGCCCUUUAGACGGGGACAACAUUCCGAAACGAGUGCUAAUACCGGAUGUGAUCAUCGUGCCGCAUGGCAGGAUGAAGAAAGAUGGCCUCUACAAGUAAGCUAUCGCUAAAGGUUGGGCCUGCGUCUGAUUAGCUAGUUGGUAGUGUAACGGACUACCAAGGCGAUGAUCAGUAGCCGGUCUGAGAGGAUGAACGGCCACAUUGGGACUGAGACACGGCCCAAACUCCUACGGGAGGCAGCAGUGGGGAAUCUUCCGCAAUGGACGAAAGUCUGACGGAGCAACGCCGCGUGAGUGAUGAAGGAUUUCGGUCUGUAAAACUCUGUUGUUUAUGACGAACGUGCAGUGUGUGAACAAUGCAUUGCAAUGACGGUAGUAAACGAGGAAGCCACGGCUAACUACGUGCCAGCAGCCGCGGUAAUACGUAGGUGGCGAGCGUUGUCCGGAAUUAUUGGGCGUAAAGAGCAUGUAGGCGGCUUAAUAAGUCGAGCGUGAAAAUGCGGGGCUCAACCCCGUAUGGCGCUGGAAACUGUUAGGCUUGAGUGCAGGAGAGGAAAGGGGAAUUCCCAGUGUAGCGGUGAAAUGCGUAGAUAUUGGGAGGAACACCAGUGGCGAAGGCGCCUUUCUGGACUGUGUCUGACGCUGAGAUGCGAAAGCCAGGGUAGCGAACGGGAUUAGAUACCCCGGUAGUCCUGGCCG